rnacentral:rRNA from 1 species
AUUGAACGCUGGCGGCAGGCCUAACACAUGCAAGUCGAGCGGAUGAAGGAAGCUCGCUCCUGGAUUCAGCGGCGGACGGGCGAGUAAUGCCUAGGAAUCUGCCUGGCCGUGGGGGAUAACGUCCGGAAACGGGCGCUAAUCCCGCAUACGAUAUGAGGGUGAAAGUGGGGGAUCUUCGGUCCUCACGCUAUCAGAUGUGCCUAGGUCGGAUUAGCUAGCUGGUGGGGUAAAGGCCUACCAAGGCGACGGUCCGUAACUGGUCUGCGAGGAUGAUCAGUCACAAUGGAACUGAGGCACGGUCCAGACUCCUACGGGGGGCAGCAGGGGGGAAUUUUGGACAAUGGGCGGAAGCCUGGUCCAGGCAUGCCGCGGGGAGGAAGAAGGUUUUCGGAUUGGAAAGCACUUGAAGUUGGGAGGAAGGGAAGGAAUUUAAUACCUUGCUGGUUUGACGUUACCAUCAGAAGAAGGACCGGCUAACUUCGUG